GAAUUCACUAGUGAUUAGAGUUUGAUCCUGGCUCAGGAUGAACGCUGGCGGCGUGCUUAACACAUGCAAGUCGAACGAGGUCUUCGGACCUAGUGGCGGACGGGUGAGUAACGCGUGAGAAUCUGCCCUUAGGAGGGGUACAACAGUUGGAAACGACUGCUAAUACCCCAUAUGCCGCGAGGUGAAACUAAUUGGCCUAAAGAUGAGCUCGCGUCUGAUUAGCUAGUUGGUGAGGUAAGAGCUUACCAAGGCAACGAUCAGUAGCUGGUCUGAGAGGAUGAGCAGCCACACUGGGACUGAGACACGGCCCAGACUCCUACGGGGGGCAGCAGUGGGGAAUUUUCCGCAAUGGGCGCAAGCCUGACGGAGCAAUACCGCGUGAGGGAGGAAGGCUUUUGGGUUGUAAACCUCUUUUCUCAAGGAAGAACAAUGACGGUACUUGAGGAAUAAGCAUCGGCUAACUCCGUGCCAGCAGCCGCGGUAAUACGGAGGAUGCAAGCGUUAUCCGGAAUUAUUGGGCGUAAAGCGUCCGUAGGUGGCCCAACAAGUCUGCUGUUAAAGACCAAAGCUUAACUUUGGCAAAGCAGUGGAAACUGUAGAGCUAGAGACCGGUAGGGGUAGAGGGAAUUUCCAGUGUAGCGGUGAAAUGCGUAGAGAUUGGAAAGAACACCAGUGGCGAAAGCGCUCUACUGGACCGGAACUGACACUGAGGGACGAAAGCUAGGGGAGCGAAAGGGAUUAGAUACCCCUGUAGUCCUAGCCGUAAACGAUG
rnacentral:rRNA from 1 species